UGAGUAACCUGCCCUUAACUCUGGGAUAAGCCUGGGAAACUGGGUCUAAUACCGGAUAUGACUCCUCAUCGCAUGGGUGGGGGGUGGAAAGCUUUUUGUGGUUUUGGAUGGACUCGCGGCCUAUCAGCUUGCUGGUGAGGUAAUGGCUCACCAAGGCGACGACGGGUAGCCGGCCUGAGAGGGUGACCGGCCACACUGGGACUGAGACACGGCCCAGACUCCUACGGGAGGCAG
rnacentral:rRNA from 1 species